rfam:Takifugu rubripes genomic scaffold, scaffold_278
GCUUAUGGCCAUACCACCCUGAGAACGUCUGAUCAUGGAAGCUAAGUAGGGUCAGGUCUGGUUAGUACUUGGAUGAGAGAUCGCCUGGGAAUACCAGGUGCUCUAAGCU